UGCCAGCCGCCGCGGUAAGACGAAGGGUGCAAGCGUUGUUCGGAUUUAUUGGGCGUAAAGAGCGCGCAGGCGGAUUAGUAUGUCAGGUGUGAAAUCUCGGGGCUCAACCCCGAAACUGCGCCUGAAACUGCAAAUCUAGAAUACUGGAGAGGGAAGGGGAAUUUCUCAUGUAGGGGUAAAAUCCGUAGAGAUGAGAAGGAACACUCGAGGCGAAGGCGCCUUCCUGGACAGUUAUUGACGCUGAGGCGCGAAAGCGUGGGGAGCAAACAGGAUUAGAUA
rnacentral:rRNA from 1 species